rnacentral:lncRNA from 1 species
AUAACCCUUGAGGCACAUGAGACACAGAGCUAAUGAAGUGCCUGAAGGAAAAAGUCUUACUAUCAAGCUAUGAAUCCUCUCCCCUGUGCCACAAACCAGAGGUCACAUGACUUAGGAAUGUGUAUCCAAAGAUAAUACUACCUUCAGAGAACUCUACUUACAGGUCUUGGACAAACAGUAAGCUAUUCACUCACAAAUGCAGGCCAGACUUAUUUCCCACUUUUCUAAACAAUGUAGUACAAUCUACUAAUCCAAUGAAAUAAAUCGAACAAGAAGAUCCCUGCUGAUGGGCAGCGCUUCUGACGAGGAUUUAGUGAAUGUGCUGCUGGACAGUGAUAAAAUGAAGAGUGGUACUGGGAAAGCCAAGUUAUCCGACUGGGUCGUGGAUGUGUAGCUGUAAGGAAACCCACAGGAGAACUCCCAGGGUGAACUUUGUUGAUCUUAUAGCUUUUAAAGCUCAAUUUCCCUCUGCAGCAUGGCAAUCAUCUACAUUGGACCAGCAAACCUCCAGAUUUUUAUGCAUACUUGUGACAAUCAUAUACAUGCUGAAAGUACAGAUUUUAUGCUGAUUAGCAUUUUUGGAACCCACAGACAAGAAGCACUCUUGGAACAAUUUAUUAACCUUUGCAUCACCUUAAAAGCAUGUGUG